GAUGAACGCUGACGGAAUGCUUAACACAUGCAAGUCAACUUGAACUUCGGUUUGGGUGGCGGACGGGUGAGUAACGCGUAAAGAACUUGCCUCACAGCUAGGGACAACAUUUGGAAACGAAUGCUAAUACCUGAUAUUAUGAUUAUAGGGCAUCGUAUAAUUAUGAAAGCUAUAUGCGCUGUGAGAGAGCUUUGCGUCCCAUUAGCUAGUUGGAGAGGUAACAGCUCACCAAGGCGAUGAUGGGUAGCCGGCCUGAGAGGGUGAUCGGCCACAAGGGGACUGAGACACGGCCCUUACUCCUACGGGAGGCAGCAGUGGGGAAUAUUGGACAAUGGACCGAGAGUCUGAUCCAGCAAUUCUGUGUGCACGAUGAAGUUUUUCGGAAUGUAAAGUGCUUUCAGUUGGGAAGAAAAAAAUGACGGUACCAACAGAAGAAGUGACGGCUAAAUACGUG
rnacentral:rRNA from 1 species